rnacentral:lncRNA from 1 species
UUAUAAUUUGAUCGCCCGACGUAAUCGCCUCGUGGUUGCACGGUUGAACUACAUACAUCGUCACAGAAGCGCACAGAAAGGCACAAGGUGUCCCUGUGCUUCUGAAGUGGAAUAUGGACAGCAUGAGUCGUCAUUUGGCUCUGGUGCCAGUGGAGAAGCGCAUUCGAACUGGCUUGCCUGUACCCUCUGGGAGAUGCGCCCAUGCUGCAUUACGGUCUGUUUGCAGUGCCGGGGGGUCCUAGUGGAGAUGGCCUAGGUUGGCCAGAGGUUGGUCUUCAUCGGAAGGCAAGAUGAAUCGGGAGCAAGAGUAGCAUGCCUCCUUUCUUGAUUCCAUGGUGCACGGACCUAGGCUGUCUUUAUGAAGCAUACAUGAAGGGGCUCAACAAGGUCCAAAGCCAGGGGUUCCAUUACAGGGCCCUAUCUCUACAAGGGUGGUCCACAGGGACACCACGCCAAGCCUAGCGUCCGAACCAUGAGCAGGUUGGAGGUGGGAGCCCUGUCGCUGCUCCGUAUGCCACUUGUGAACCCCUGGUCCCCUCUGACUGGGGUGAAGGGUUCGUCCCCAAGUAGGGUCUGGACCAGCACUCCGGCCUCAAUCCUCAAGCCCUGCGUCCCCUGCCUGUGUCGCCGUCCGCAUGGAGACUCCUCCGACGCUGCUUGCGUUGCCAGCCAGAGCCUGCCCUAGCCCAGGGGUGUUGCAGUGGAGGAACAACCCUGGGGACUGUACUGCACCCCAAACUCUGCAAAUCUCCAGCUUCGAAGUUGAGGACUCGGACGAAGAAGACGAACAUGUCGGGCACAAGGGUGAUCGGCAGCUGCCGUGUCUCGGUCCGGAUGUAACCAAAACUACUUUGGGAGAUAAGCGGAGUCUGGACACGAGCUUGAUUGCCAUAAAAGAAGGGCCAUCAUAUCCUUUCCUCAAGUGGGAAUCUCCAGGAAAGAGCCCAGAGCGUCUCACUCCCGUGGUGUCCUCGUACUCCUUCGACACUUCGUUAGGAAAGAGUACGAGCACCCCGUUGCAGUCAGGACGAGGCGAAAGUCGAUCCAAGCCUCUUCAAGGUCAGUGCGGAGUAUGUGUCGCGGUGGAAGCGUCGACCCGUCGAGUCUGAUGUCAACUUGAAAGUUGAGGAUUUUGAGCUCGAAAAAGGAACCGCCUAGUGCUCUCUCCGUCGCAAGGAGAGACUCGCCACUUUAUAUCAAAGAGAUAGAUAUAUUGAUGCAGCAUACUAGCGCAUCAAUGAGAGGUUUAAAUGCUUAGAAGGCGAAAUUAGGACGAGUGAACCACAUCUCACUGAUAAGGUGCACACUUUACAGAACCGCAUGCAGGAGCUUAUGCUUCGAUUAAUUAAAAACAGAGCGUGUUGGUAAGGAUAAUUUUAAACACAAAAGAAUAAACAAAUAGUGGGGAGCACAAAACAUGACAUCUUCAUCUCCAUUGGACUUGCGGCACUAGAAAAAAACAUGUCCUGUUGCUAAAAGACAAUGUUAAUAAAAAGAGCGAGCUGGUUAACGUUACACAUGAUUCUAACCGGAGACGACGAACGACAAGGGGGCAAG